CAAGGCGACGAUCCCUAGCUGGUCUGAGAGGAUGACCAGCCACACUGGAACUGAGACACGGUCCAGACUCCUACGGGAGGCAGCAGUGGGGAAUAUUGCACAAUGGGCGCAAGCCUGAUGCAGCCAUGCCGCGUGUAUGAAGAAGGCCUUCGGGUUGUAAAGUACUUUCAGCGGGGAGGAAGGUGUUGUGGUUAAUAACCGCAGCAAUUGACGUUACCCGCAGAAGAAGCACCGGCUAACUCCGUGCCAGCAGCCGCGGUAAUACGGAGGGUGCAAGCGUUAAUCGGAAUUACUGGGCGUAAAGCGCACGCAGGCGGUCUGUCAAGUCGGAUGUGAAAUCCCCGGGCUCAACCUGGGAACUGCAUUCGAAACUGGCAGGCUUGAGUCUUGUAGAGGGGGGUAGAAUUCCAGGUGUAGCGGUGAAA
rnacentral:rRNA from 1 species